GUUAUGCUGUGAUGAAUUAUGAAUAAAUUCACAUGUCAGACUUCAGAGAUUAUUACAAUCAAUGAGAAGUACAUUCAUCUAUUCUGAGCAUAAU